AACGUAGGUACCGAGCGUUAUCCGGAAUUAUUGGGCGUAAAGGGUAGGUAGGUGGUCUCAUUUGUCUGGGGUGAAAUCCUUGGGCUUAACCCAAGAAGUGCCCCAGAAACGGUGAGACUGGAGUCCUGGAGAGGGUCGUGGAAUUCCCGGUGUAGCGGUGAAAUGCGUAGAGAUCGGGAGGAACACCAGAGGCGAAGGCGGCGACCUGGACAGGUACUGACACUCAACUACGAAAGCGUGGGGAGCAAACAGG
rnacentral:rRNA from 1 species